GCCUGGGUGGCUCAGUUGGUUAAGCGUCUGACUUAAGCUCAGGUCAUGAUAUCACAAGUCUGUGAGUUCGAGCCCCACGUUGGGCU
rnacentral:tRNA from 1 species